GGUGCCUACGGGACGCAGCAGUGGGGAAUAUUGCACAAUGGGGGAAACCCUGAUGCAGCGACGCCGCGUGAGUGAAGAAGUAUUUCGGUAUGUAAAGCUCUAUCAGCAGGGAAGAAGUUGACGGUACCUGAGUAAGAAGCCCCGGCUAACUACGUGCCAGCAGCCGCGGUAAUACGUAGGGGGCAAGCGUUAUCCGGAUUUACUGGGUGUAAAGGGAGCGUAGACGGCAGUGCAAGUCUGAAGUGAAAGCCCCG
rnacentral:rRNA from 1 species